AGGGUUACAUCGGUAAAACAUUAGUAUUUUGGAACUAAAAUUGAAGGUUCGAGUCCUUCUCUGCCC
rnacentral:tRNA from 1 species